GAUGAACGCUGGCGGCGUGCCUAAUACAUGCAAGUCGAGCGAACAGACGAGGAGCUUGCUCCUCUGACGUUAGCGGCGGACGGGUGAGUAACACGUGGAUAACCUACCUAUAAGACUGGGAUAACUUCGGGAAACCGGAGCUAAUACCGGAUAAUAUAUUGAACCGCAUGGUUCAAUAGUGAAAGACGGUUUUGCUGUCACGUAUAGAUGGAUCCGCGCCGCAUUAGCUAGUUGGUAAGGUAACGGCUUACCAAGGCAACGAUGCGUAGCCGACCUGAGAGGGUGGUCGGCCACACUGGAACUGAGACACGGUCCAGACUCCUACGGGAGGCAGCAGUAGGGAAUCUUCCGCAAUGGGCGAAAGCUUGACGGAGCAACGCCGCGUGAGUGAUGAAGGUCUUCGGAUCGUAAAACUCUGUUAUUAGGGAAGAACAAAUGUGUAAGUAACUAUGCACGUCUUGACGGUACCUAAUCAGAAAGCCACGGCUAACUACGUG
rnacentral:rRNA from 1 species